GUUUUUGAAAAAAAUGUGGCCUUCAAUUGAUAUAGUGCGGCCCCAUCUGGCGUGCGGGUCUUGGCCACUUGGGGGCAGUAUAACAAACACUACGAACACAGAAACGUUCAGUCAUUCGUCACAAAUGAUGCGUCUUGUGUGUUGUAUUUUAUUCUCCAGAUGUGUUUUUCGUUGACGUGUCCGUGGCUGAAACGCUUUUGUUUGUAACAAUCGAGAAUCGCGAAUAAAAUCGGCACAGUCGGACGGAUGUUAAAGGUACCUUUAUUUCAUUUGUAUCGUUUUAUAAAAGAAAAUAGCACUGAAGCUCAGUUAAUAACAGCGACACAGACUGCAGGUAAGUGUAGUGAUUCAUUAGUGGUUGCGUGUGUGUGUGUGUGUGUGCGCGCGCGUUUCUCGGCAAAGCUACAUGCACGGCAAAAGGCAUCGGAUGUGUUUCUGACUUCCAGCCCUGUGAUUGGACGCUUGGGGCGGCACGUUGGGUCAGAGUGACGUCACUCUACAUCCCGACCAAUCAGCCGAGAGUUGUGUGGGAAGAGGGCGAAAAGCACAGGAAGACAACACGCGAGGAAAGGCAGGAACCGGUCUUCUUUCUCCUCAUUGGACGGGCACAAACAGGAAGUGAGUGUUGACACUAGAAGAGUUGAAACGUCAAUUGAUCGAUCAAUGAAUAAAUACUUUCUUUUUUAAACUAGCGCAUGAAGUGUUCACCUAAUAGCGUAAUUGAAAAUAUAUUUUUUUUAAAAACGAGAAGUUUCUUCCCAUCACCUCGAGGAUGGAAAAUCAUCAACAUAUUCUUCAUGUUAUUUUAUUUAACUCAUUCACUCCCAAAGACGUUUUUAAACGUCUUUUCAGACUUGGUCAAGAAUUGGCUGGUACUGAAUGAGUUCAUUGCAA